rnacentral:lncRNA from 1 species
ACGCUAUUUAUAUUUAAACAAACGGUUCGAUCCAUUGGUGAAAGGAGAUGUGAAUUUAUGGAUAUGAACGAGCUAUCCAAAUAAUUAUAAAGAAAUUGAAGAUUUCAUUGAGUAAAUACCAUCUUAGCAUACUAUUUAAUGUUCUAAGCAAAUUUUUCAUGUCGAUAUAAAAUUAAAAAUUAUAACUUAUUGCAAUGAGCAUAAGAAUAUACUAUGC